AGAGUUUGAUCAUGGCUCAGAUUGAACGCUGGCGGCAGGCUUAACACAUGCAAGUCGAGCGGUAACAGGAGAAGCUUGCUUCUCGCUGACGAGCGGCGGACGGGUGAGUAAUACUUAGGAAUCUACCUAGUAGUGGGGGAUAGCUCGGGGAAACUCGAAUUAAUACCGCAUACGACCUACGGGAGAAAGGGGGCAACUUGUUGCUCUCGCUAUUAGAUGAGCCUAAGUCGGAUUAGCUAGAUGGUGGGGUAAAGGCCUACCAUGGCGACGAUCUGUAGCUGGUCUGAGAGGAUGAUCAGCCACACCGGGACUGAGACACGGCCCGGACUCCUACGGGAGGCAGCAGUGGGGAAUAUUGGACAAUGGGGGCAACCCUGAUCCAGCCAUGCCGCGUGUGUGAAGAAGGCCUUUUGGUUGUAAA
rnacentral:rRNA from 1 species